UUAAAACGUCGUGAGACAGUUUGGUCCCUAUCUUUCGUGGGCGUAGGAUAUUUGAGAGGAGCUGUUCCUAGUACGAGAGGACCGGAAUGGACGAACCAAUGGUGCUCCAGUUGUCGCGCCAGCGGCAUGGCUGGGUAGCUAAGUUCGGAAAGGAUAACCGCUGAAAGCAUCUAAGCGGGAAGCCCACCUCAAGAUUAUAUAUCCCUUAAGUAUGGAAACAUACUUAACUGAAGACCCCUUGAAGACUACAAGGUUGAUAGGCCAGGUGUGUAAGUGUGGCAACACAUUUAGCUUACUGGUACUAAUAGGUCGUGCGGCUUGGCCAUAAAACA
rnacentral:rRNA from 1 species